UCCGUAGGCGGUGUGGCAAGUCGGUAGUGAAAUCUCUCGGCUUAACUGAGAGGCUGCUGCCGAAACUGCCAUGCUCGAGUGCGAGAGAGGCGAGUGGAAUUGCGGGUGUAGCGGUGAAAUGCGUAGAUAUCCGCAGGAACAUCCGAGGCGAAAGCGGCUCGCUGGAUCGCAACUGACGCUGAGGGACGAAAGCUAGGGGAGCAAACAGGAUUAGAUACCCUGGUAGUCCUAGCCCUAAACCAUCAGGACUUGGGGUUUGCCCUGUACGGGGCGAAGUCCCGGAGCUAACGCGUUAAGUCCUGCGCCUGGGGAGUACGGUCGCAAGGCUGAA
rnacentral:rRNA from 1 species